AUGGCUUCCAGCACUGUUUCCGUGAAGGCUGCCAGCUUGGCAAAUGAAACUCCUGAAAUUCCAGACAACGUGGGAGAUUGGCUUCGGGUGUCUAUCGCUUUGCCACCGAUAGAAAUGAUUUCCGGAGGAACUUGAUCCUCAAUUUGGGACUCUUUGCUGCGGGCGUUUGGCUGGCCAGGAACUUGAGUGACAUUGAUCUCUUGGCACCUCAGCCAGGGGUGUAGCCACGUAGACAAAUGGAAUCCUGUGCUGCACCUGAACCUUUCAAAAACAGAGCCUAUAAUCUGUGACCACCACAAGGUAUGCCUUGAUGGCAGCUGAAGUUUGAUCCUCAUGGGCACCUUCCUCUUCUCUACCUGGUUUCAUUUCGUUUCAAGUCUCCUCAGAGCUCCAUUCUCUGGUCAGCAGUCAGGCUUCAGCUAAAGCAUUGCCUCUGGUCUGUAAAGUUCUGUACA